ensembl:snRNA U6 U6 spliceosomal RNA
CUGCUUGCUUCAGCAGCACAUACACUAAAAUUGAAAUGAUACAAAGAUUAGCAUGGCCACUGUGCAAGGAUGACAUGUAAACUUAAAUCCAGAUGAGAAAAACCAUUUA